rnacentral:ncRNA from 2 species
UACGUAGGGCGCAAGCGUUGUCCGGAAUUAUUGGGCGUAAAGAGCUCGUAGGUGGUUCGUCGCGUCUGCUGUGAAAGUCCGAGGCUUAACCUCGGAUCUGCAGUGGGUACGGGCGAACUAGAGUGCGGUAGAGGAGAUCGGAAUUCCUGGUGUAGCGGUGGAAUGCGCAGAUAUCAGGAGGAACACCGGUGGCGAAGGCGGAUCUCUGGGCCGUAACUGACGCUGAGGAGCGAAAGCAUGGGGAGCGAACAGG